rnacentral:rRNA from 1 species
GACGAACGCUGGCGGCGUGCUUAACACAUGCAAGUCGAACGAAGAGCGAUGGAAGCUUGCUUCUAUCAAUCUUAGUGGCGAACGGGUGAGUAACGCGUAAUCAACCUGCCCUUCAGAGGGGGACAACAGUUGGAAACGACUGCUAAUACCGCAUACGAUCUGACCUCGGCAUCGAGGAUAGAUGAAAGGUGGCCUCUACAUGUAAGCUAUCACUGAAGGAGGGGAUUGCGUCUGAUUAGCUAGUUGGAGGGGUAACGGCCCACCAAGGCGAUGAUCAGUAGCCGGUCUGAGAGGAUGAACGGCCACAUUGGGACUGAGACACGGCCCAGACUCCUACGGGAGGCAGCAGUGGGGAAUCUUCCGCAAUAGACGAAAGUCUGACGGAGCAACGCCGCGUGAGUGAUGACGGCCUUCGGGUUGUAAAGCUCUGUUAAUCGGGACGAAAGGCCUUUUUGCGAAUAGUGAGAAGGAUUGACGGUACCGGAAUAGAAAGCCACGGCUAACUACGUG